rnacentral:sRNA from 1 species
UUUUUACGUUUUGUAGAAAAAAUUGCUAACAAAUGACACGGAUAAUUAGAUCAUUAAGUGCGUAAGCAAACAUGCAUGCAUGGAGCCACGUCUUGGAACGGAAUGACGAGGGUGGACUUUUUGGGGUUAAUUUACCUUAGCCAUUGUAACGACUAUCGAGUAAGCAUGUGCAUUAGAUAAAGUCACAGGCGAGUUAGUUGGUCCGUUACUAAUUUCGUCAUGUAGGUCCUUUUCUUACCGUUUUCUAUUUCAUUUUCCAUGGAUUUUGUAAUAUAGCUAUAUGUAGAUGAUGAUACGGAUUCCUACUAUAUACUAUACACAACCUUGCGGUGGUAUAUAAUAUAGCUAUAUGUAGAUUAUUGACAAAGAAUUUCACAACUUUUAAGCAACUUCAAGAAAAUGCUAUAUUAUGUGCUUUAGUAGCUGACGGUGGAACAUUAGUAGCGGAAACUUAGUUACUUAGAAUGGCAUUUCUGUUUGAGAUUAAUCAUCUUCGAGUUGUUUUAACGGAAUAUAUAUGUGCUUUCUCCGUCUCAAAAUUCCAAAUUUUGUCAUGGGAAUUUAUAAAAUAAUAUCUCAAAAAAAUUAACAAUUAAGUAAGCA